rnacentral:rRNA from 1 species
GACGAACGCUGGCGGCGUGCCUAACACAUGCAAGUCGAACGGAGAUACGAUUUCGGUUGUAUCUUAGUGGCGAACGGGUGAGUAACGCGUAAGCAACCUGACUCUUAGAGGGGGAUAACACUCGGAAACGGGUGCUAAUACCGCAUAAGACCACACCGUGGCAUCGCGGAGAGGUCAAAGGAGCAAUCCGCUGAGAGAGGGGCUCGCGUCCCAUUAGAUAGAUGGCGGGGUAACGGCCCACCAUGUCGACGAUGGGUAGCCGAGCUGAGAGGCUGAUCGGCCACACUGGAACUGAGACACGGUCCAGACUCCUACGGGAGGCAGCAGUGAGGAAUCUUGCGCAAUGGGGGAAACCCUGACGCAGCAACGCCGCGUGAGUGAGGAAGGCC